rnacentral:lncRNA from 1 species
UUUGAUGGUGUUGUACACCUCUAAGCUUCUAAAUUCAGUCCAACUCCGGUCCGGUUUGAUUAGGCUAGUACUUCUGCCAGAUCGGUCGGUUCGACCCGGCGCUUAUGGAUGUAUUUAUAAACUUUAUAGGCUGACACUUAUGGAUGUACUCAUGCAUGUUUAUGUUAUGUAUGGUGUAUCUGUUCGGCCAAAAAAAAAUUGUGAGCAAAUCUAGCCUGGUCUACUUGGAAGUCAACUUAAGUUGCUGGCAAGUUCAGGUUUCUAGUGCAACAAGAAUCAGCCUGAGAUCGGGAUCAAAUCGCAACCAAAAUGUUUUAGAGACUUUAAAAAUCACUCUAACUCCCUCCCCCAUUUACUUGGGUUUCAAA